rnacentral:rRNA from 1 species
GCUUGUCUCAAAGAUUAAGCCAUGCAUGUCUAAGUAUAAACAACUUUAUACGUGAAACUGCGAAUGGCUCAUUAUAUCAGUUAUAGUUUACUUGAUGGUCACUACUACUUGGAUAACCGUAGUAAUUCUAGAGCUAAUACAUGCAGCAAACCCCGACUUCGGAAGGGUGUGUACUUAUUAGAUUGAAACCAAUUGGGGCAACUCAUCAUUGGUGAUUCAUAAUAAUUUUCAGAUCGGUCUAGGCCGAUGCAUCAUUCAAGUUUCUGCCCUAUCAGCUUUGGAUGGUAGGGUAUUGGCCUACCAUGGCAUUAACGGGUAACGGAGAAUUAGGGUUCGGUUCCGGAGAGGGAGCCUGAGAAAUGGCUACCACAUCCAAGGAAGGCAGCAGG